CUCACUCAGUCGACCCCGCGCGCGCACACAGCCCGCGUCCUCUUCGCCCCCGGCUCGGUCCUGCCCCGCGUCCCUGCAGUUCACAAAGGGCGUCGGCCAGCUCCUGGGUGGUGACCUCGAUGAACUUGGGAUCUUGAGCAAACUGCCCCAGUCCUUCUGAAAUCAAGACCUGAAGGAGCGGGGUGGGAGCCAUGAAGAACCAAAGGAACAUUAUUCCUGGAGCCCAGCUCUUCCCUUGAGGGCUAGAGCGAGGGGUAUCUGAGAAACCAUUCUCCCUGGUGAAACUGCUGAGACAGGCCCACUGCCCAUUGCCUGCCGCUGCCUUUCCAGGGGUGAGGUAUCUGUGCAAACACGGCGCAUGCCCCUGCCUUGCUUCUGCUGGGAAGGGCCAGCAGGUGACCCUUAAGCUUCUCUGUCCUCCCUACAGGCUGCUUAGUGCCUGGCUAUGGGAAAAUCGGCUCCUGAGCCAGCGGGUCGGGGGAAGCUGAGUGCAGCCUGGCACUCGCUCCUUCCAGGCAUCUGUCUUGCUCCUUGCCCACGCCACUCAUUCUCUCCUUGCCCUGCUUAGUU
rnacentral:antisense_RNA from 1 species